UACCAAUGGAAAUAAACAUUCUAUUUAAUUUGAGCCUUUUUAUUUAAUUUUUUCAAACAGUUAAUACUCGAACUCCUUCAAAGAUCACUAAAGUGUUUUUCUAAAAUGCAAGAAGCAAUUAGUAUCAAAGAACCCAAACAGGUAAGGACUAAGGGAGAUCAGCCUG